rnacentral:tRNA from 1 species
UAAGGAUGGUAAAUAAUUUCUUUUGCACUGAAGUUUUCUAUGCCAACCUU